rnacentral:ncRNA from 2 species
ACUAAAGUAGGAUACGAUGAGAGAUUAUCUGUACAUAGGGCACUUGGAUAAUCCGGAGUAAGUAGUGCGACCGGCCAACUUGGUU